rnacentral:rRNA from 1 species
UAAUUUGUAGAGGCAGCUUUGGCUGUGGCGGCGGUCUAAUUCGCUUGGAACAGCGGGUCAUGGAGGGUGAGAGCCCCGUCUGAGACCGCCGACCGCUUCCGCGUAAAGCUCCUUCGACGAGUCGAGUUGUUUGGGAAUGCAGCUCCAAAUGGGUGGUAAAUUUCAUCUAAAGCUAAAUAUUGGCCAGAGACCGAUAGCGCACAAGUAGAGUGAUCGAAAGAUGAAAAGCACUUUGAAAAGAGAGUUAAAAAGUAUGUGAAAUUGUUGAAAGGGAAGCGCUGGCCACCAGACCGGAGCGCGGCGGCUCCCCCGGCUGACCAGUCGGGCUAUUCUGUCGCGCUCCGGCCAGCAUCGGUUCGGGUGGUCGGUCACGGGUCCCGGGAAAGUAUCUACCCCCGGGUCGACUUAUAGCCUGGGACACACGCGACCUACCCGGACCGAGGAACGCGCUUCGGCCCGGAUGCUGGCGUAAUGGUGGUCAGCGGCCCGUCUUGAAACACGGACCAAGGAGUCUAACAUCUAUGCGAGUGUGCGGGUGUCAAACCCCUGCGCGAAAUGAAAGUGAACGGAGGUGAGAGCCCCUCGCGGGGUGCAUCAUCGACCGAUCCUGAUGUCUUC